CCUACGGGUGGCAGCAGUGGGGAAUAUUGCGCAAUGGGCGAAAGCCUGACGCAGCGACGCCGCGUGAGGGAUGAAGGUCUUCGGAUCGUAAACCUCUGUCAGCAGGGAAGAACGGUCACUGUGCUAAUCAGCAGUGAAUUGACGGUACCUGCCACGGAACCACCGGCUAACUCCGUGCCAGCAGCCGCGGUAAUACGGAGGGUGCGAGCGUUAAUCGGAAUUAAUGGGCGUAAAGCGCUCGUAGGCGGGCUGUCAAGUCAAGGGUGAAAUCUCCGCGCUCAACGUGGGAACUGCCUUUGAAACUGGAGAACUGGAGGGUGUGAGAGGAUAGUGGAAUUCCAGGUGUAGGAGUGAAAUCCGUAGAUAUCUGGAGGAACAUCAGUGGCGAAGGCGACUAUCUGGCACAUAACUGACGCUGAGGAGCGAAAGCGUGGGUAGCAAACAGGAUUAGAUACCCCUGUAGUC
rnacentral:rRNA from 1 species